AUUGAACGCUGGCGGCAUGCCUUACACAUGCAAGUCGAACGGCAGCACGGGAGCAAUCCUGGUGGCGAGUGGCGAACGGGUGAGUAAUAUAUCGGAACGUGCCCAGUCGUGGGGGAUAACGUAGCGAAAGCUACGCUAAUACCGCAUACGAUCUAUGGAUGAAAGCGGGGGAUCGCAAGACCUCGCGCGAUUGGAGCGGCCGAUAUCAGAUUAGGUAGUUGGUGAGGUAAAAGCCCACCAAGCCGACGAUCUGUAGCUGGUCUGAGAGGACGACCAGCCACACUGGGACUGAGACACGGCCCAGACUCCUACGGGAGGCAGCAGUGGGGAAUUUUGGACAAUGGGCGCAAGCCUGAUCCAGCAAUGCCGCGUGCAGGAUGAAGGCCUUCGGGUUGUAAACUGCUUUUGUACGGAGCGAAAAGGCUUCCACUAAUACUGGGGGCUCAUGACGGUACCGUAAGAAUAAGCACCGGCUAACUACGUGCCAGCAGCCGCUGUAACAC
rnacentral:rRNA from 1 species